CCUGACAGGAAUUGGCCUCAACUUUUCAUUUCCUCUCCCAAGCUGGAAAUACUGGAGGUCGGCAAGUCCCCGGGCAGGAGCGCACGACCGGGCCUCAGCUCCUGACACCCACCAUUCUGCUGGAGGUCUGUCUGAGUUGGACCCUUCUAGAUCUCUGACAUCACUUGUUCCAGAGGAAGCUAGCCAC